rnacentral:rRNA from 1 species
ACUCCUACGGGAGGCAGCAGUAGGGAAUCUUCCACAAUGGACGAAAGUCUGAUGGAGCAACGCCGCGUGAGUGAAGAAGGGUUUCGGCUCGUAAAACUCUGUUGUUAAAGAAAGAACAUAUCUGAGAGUAACUGUUCAGGUAUUGACGGUAUUUAACCAGAAAGCCACGGCUAACUACGUGCCAGCAGCCGCGGUAAUACGUAGGUGGCAAGCGUUGUCCGGAUUUAUUGGGGCGUAAAGCGAGCGCAGGCGGUUUUUAAGUCUGAUGUGAAAGCCUUCGGCUCAACCGAAGAAGUGCAUCGGAAACUGGGAAACUUGAGUGCAGAAGAGGACAGUGGAACUCCAUGUGUAGCGGUGAAAUGCGUAGAUAUAUGGAAGAACACCAGUGGCGAAGGCGGCUGUCUGGUCUGUAACUGACGCUGAGGCUCGAAAGUAUGGGUAGCAAACAGGAUUAGAUACCCUGGUAGGAUAG